rnacentral:rRNA from 1 species
CCUACGGGUGGCAGCAGUGAGGAAUAUUGGUCAAUGGCCGCGAGUCUGAACCAGCCAAGUAGCGUGAAGGAUGACUGCCCUAUGGGUUGUAAACUUCUUUUAUAUGGGAAUAAAACGUUCCACGUGUGGGAUUUUGUAUGUACCAUAUGAAUAAGGAUCGGCUAACUCCGUGCCAGCAGCCGCGGUAAUACGGAGGAUCCGAGCGUUAUCCGGAUUUAUUGGGUUUAAAGGGAGCGUAGGUGGGUUGUUAAGUCAGUUGUGAAAGUUUGCGGCUCAACCGUAAAAUUGCAGUUGAAACUGGCAGUCUUGAGUACAGUAGAGGUAGGCGGAAUGCGGGGUGUAGCGGUGAAAUGCUUAGAUAUCACGAAGAACUCCGAUUGCGAAGGCAGUUCACUGGACUGCAACUGACACUGAGGCUCGAAAGUGUGGGUAUCAAACAGGAUUAGAUACCCGGGUAGUC